rnacentral:misc_RNA from 1 species
UGAGUGGUGUUUGGUUUGUUACGUGUGGUGGCUGCGGCGUUUGCAACAACUUCCAUGCUUUCAGACCUCUUCAGUUGUGCGGCAAGGCUUGUAUCGCCUUGAGCGUGCUGUGGGUUUUCUGUGUUGGCUACCUAAUCAAUGGUAUCGGUUGGAUUGAUCAAAGUUUGAUUUCGUCUUUUGUCGCAUUCGCGGCGUGRGGUGAACCUCGAUGCGGUCUCUUUGAUCCACCUCGUUGAAGCACAUGCCUUGACGUUGUGGCACAUUGAGCAUUGCUUGGUCUCUUGUAUACGGAACAUAUAGUGGGCAUGGAUCUAACGAUUCUCGUUUGCCCUCAUAUUAGCGUAACGCUUCUCUAACACGACUUGCACCACGUUUUAGCUCGUACGGACGUGGUGCUAUGUCGAAGAGGAAUGCUACCUGGUUGAUCCUGCCAGUAGUCAUAUGCUUGUCUCAAARAUUAAGCCAUGCAGGU